GAUGAACGCUGGCGGCGUGCCUAAUACAUGCAAGUCGAGCGAACGGACGAGAAGCUUGCUUCUCUGAUGUUAGCGGCGGACGGGUGAGUAACAUGUGGAUAACCUACCUAUAAGACUGGGAUAACUUCGGGAAACCGGCGCUAAUACCGGAUGAUAUUUUGAACCGCAUGGUUCAAAAGUGAAAGACGGUCUUGCUGUCACUUAUAGAUGGAUCUGCGCUGCAUUAGCUAGUUGGUAAGGUAACGGCUUACCAAGGCAACGAUGCAUAGCCGACCUGAGAGGGUGAUCGGCCACCCGAGAACUGAGACACGGUCCAGACUCCUGCGGGAGGCAGCAGUAGGGAAUCUUCCGCAAUGGGCGAAAGCCUGACGGAGCAACGCCGCGUGAGUGAUGAAGGUCUUCGGAUCGUAAAACUCUGUUAUUAGGGAAGAACAUAUGUGUAAGUAACUGUGCACAUCUUGACGGUACCUAAUCAGAAAGCCACGGCUAACUACGUG
rnacentral:rRNA from 1 species